ACCUACUCUGAUUAAACCCAAAUAAAUUUCACUCAAAACAAAAAUUGUCCAAAAUAUUAGAAGAGGAAGAGUGAGAUCUGAUGAACCCUAGAUCUACUAGCCGCCACCAAAUUAAUCUCUUCGCCAUUGUCAGCGUCAAGCUCGCAGUACCGUCUGAGAUCAGAGGGAGAGUAAGUUCAUCGCUGCUCUCAUUCAUGUCUUGGUCGUUGUCGCCAUCAAGCUUCUACAUCAAUGUGUUGUCUCCUUCGUCUACAUGCAAUAAUUUUAAUUUUGAGAUCAAAGACACCAGAUCCAUCUCUAUGUUCAUGCUAUUCUCCAAUGGAACAAGUUGCAGCGCAUGAAUCUCACCGCAGUCAAAGACGCCGACAAAAUCAUGGAGAGGAACGUCGAGGACUCACUCGCGAUCCUCCCUCCUCUUAGGGAUUGCUACCGCAUGCGCUGCGGCGGCGCGCCGUCACAUGAGAAGCUUAGCCUCGUGGAUGUUAGAACAGGUGCUGGUCUUCCCGGAGUUGUUUUGUCCAUAGCUUGUCCAGAAUGGGAAGUUACACUAAUGGAGUCCAUGAACAAGAGAUGAGUAUUCUUGGAGCAUGUUGUUGGAAUUAUCGGUUCUCAAAUAUCCAGAUAGUAAGAGGAAGAACAGAGGCCAAAGGCUCUGAUUCUACAGCCACAAUAGGCACUAAGGCAAAAGUAUAUGCAGCUGAAGCAUCAGACAAAAAUGACCUUCAGGAAAAAAUUCUUCUUGCAACAGUUGAUGAUUAUAUAGAGCUGGUCAGAGCUCAUAUUAAUGCUGGAUCAAUGCAUCAUUUUACAUGCCGGCAGCUACUUCUGCUUGGUGCCAUGUUUAAUUAUUCUGAUGCUACAAAUAGGAAGUCUGCUAGUGCAUUUCUGCAGGAGCUGGUGCACAAGCCUCCUGAGAAUGAGAUUGAUAAUGAAGGAAAUGUGUUUGUCAUUGGAGAUGGAUUAAGUUUUGGUAGAGAUAAUGAUUGGGCUCAAGCAGUGGCCAGAUUGGCAAGGAAAGUCCAUGCUGCACUUGGUGAAUUUGAAGAAGUUGUUCUUGCUAUCAUAGAAGAGCUAGCUCAACCUUGUAGGGAGAGGAUAGCAGAUUAUGUGCAGUGGAUGCACUGUCUUUCUCUUAUUGGCCUUUUGCUGAGAAAUGUAAAGUCAAUGCGCUUGCUUCAGGGCAAGGCUAUUGAAAUAGAUGAACUACUUCAGUCUUUACUGCUCGCCAGGGUCUUGAUCAACGCAAUAUAGCAAAUGUUAUAUUUUGUUCAUGGAUAGCUGUUGGCAAUAUCCUGGGAUAUUCUGCUGGUGCUAGUGAAAAGUGGAACAUAUGGUUCCCUUUCCUGACAAAUAGAGCUUGCUGUGAAGCCCGUGGCAAUCUUAAGGCCGCAUUUCUUCUUGUUAUGGUGGGUUACUCUCUGAUAUCAUUUUAUGUAUUGUUAGAUCAUAUAAAAUAUGUAAAUUUGGUUGAUCUCAGUUGUUCAUUUCAUACCAAUUUGAUUGAUGUAAUUUGUUUAAAUUUCUAU